CAACAGACCCCUCUGGAACCAGGUCAAGAGACAAGCUAGUGAAUUCCUCUUGGUGUGAUGAUUGGUGACCGCAGCUACACAUUUAAGGAGUAACGUAGUUAAAGUAACGAUCGGACAGGUUGCUGACUCUAAACCUCUACAGAUGGCCCCCAGUGCAACCCUUCAGCCUCCUAGUAAAUGCACCUAUGGUACAAAUUUGAACAACCUGGGUGACUUCCUUCCUGUCACCGAGUUGUAGCAUUCACAAGAUUUUCAGAAAACUUGACCUUUGACCUUGAGGUCAAGGUCACUGAUAUUCAAACUGACCCCAAAACUUUAGUAGAUGCACCUAUGGUAUCAAUUCAAAAUCCUACGCCCCUUGUUCUGGAGUUACUGUCUUCAUCACCAUUUUAUUUCACUAUCUGUUAAUAAGAUAUUAUUUGUGACACAUAGUUACUAUUAAAGCGGUUAAUGAGAAUCCACAUCUGAUUACAGUAUAAUACACUGCUUAUUUAUGUAUAAUCAUCAUCAAUAAAUCUGUUCAAAACAGAAGCUA